AAUCUUACCGGGUCCGGACACACUGAGGAUUGACAGAUAACGUGCUGUUAUACAGUGCACAAUAUGAUAGCUCUUUCAUAAUUAUGUGAUAGGUGGUGCAUGGCCGUUCUUAGUUCGUGGAGUGAUCUGUCUGCUUAAUUGCGUUGGUAUAUAUAAUGCAUGUUAAUUGCAUUUUUACCAUGCAACGAACGUGACCGCAACCUCUUGUUGCACUAUAGCUUCUCAUGGUGAACAACUAGAGGGACCCCUGUAUUUAUUUCUUUUAGCCAGAGGAAGGAUGCGGGAAUAACAGGUCUGUGAUGC
rnacentral:rRNA from 1 species